rnacentral:rRNA from 1 species
UAAAUAUGACCACGAGACCGAUAGCGAACAAGUACCGUGAGGGAAAGUUGAAAAGCACUUUGAAGAGAGAGUUCAAGAGUACGUGAAACCGUUUAGGGGUAAACCUGAGAAACCCGAAAGGUCGAAGGGAGAAAUUCAUUCGCGUUUCGACGUUGGCGUCGGACAGUCGUGUGACGAGAAACGUUCGCGUUUUUCGCGCCUUCUGUCCGUCGAACCGGUGGCGAACGCGUGCACUUUUCUCCCGGUAGGACGUCGCGAUCCGUUGGGUGUCGGUCUACGGCUCGCGGUGGAGCCCGUUCGCCAUUACGUGCGAGCGGACCCGUGUGUCCCGGCUGACUCGCUCGACGGUAUACGAGAGGUUUGAGGCCGCUCUCUCGGAGCGUUCGACUCGUGGCAAGCGCGCCAGAUGUGUCGGCGAUCGGACCUAGUGCCGGUUCCGAUCUCUGGUGACUGUUGGCCGCGAAGUUCUCGAACAG